rnacentral:rRNA from 1 species
UAAUACGGAGGGUGCAAGCGUUAAUCGGAAUUACUGGGCGUAAAGCGUGCGUAGGUGGUUUGUUAAGUCAGAUGUGAAAGCCCCGGGCUCAACCUGGGAACUGCAUUUGAAACUGGCAAACUAGAGUAUAGGAGAGGAAAGUGGAAUUUCUGGUGUAGCGGUGAAAUGCGUAGAUAUCAGAAGGAACAUCAAUGGCGAAGGCAGCUUUCUGGACUAAUACUGACACUGAGGUACGAAAGCGUGGGUAGCAAACAGGAUUAGAUACCCUGGUAGUCCACGCCGUAAACGAUGACAACUAGCCGUUGGGGGGAUUUACCCCUUAGUGGCGAAGCUAACGCGUUAAGUUGUCCGCCUGGGGAGUACGGCCGCAAGGUUA